rnacentral:lncRNA from 1 species
CCUGAAUUGUAGGUAUGAGCCACUAAGGCCAGUUCAAACCCUGGUUUUCUCACUGCCAAUCAAGGGUUCUCAGCAGAACAUGUUGUCAGAAAAAAUUCUGCAAGUGGAGAAGACAGCUGCUCUCACCUAAAGGACAUUAGAGUGGACAGUUGAGAAAACAGAAGCCAAGAAGGAAGAGGAGGAACCGUACCAGGUGCUGUAGGGAUGUAUCUGGGAGAGCGUCUGGAAGAACAAAGGCAACAGAAAGGAAGAAUGACUGCAGAUGCGCUCAUGGCUGGGGCUUCAUAUCCCAGAAGCCAUAUACUGAUAAGUGGAAAACCCAGUGCCAGGGUGGGCUACCUCUAUACAUUUCUGGACGCGGAGUCUUCUGAGGCCUCCAAAACCAUAAAAGCUGAUGUCAUGUACUAGAUAGUUUUUUGUCAACACAAGCUAAAGUCAUCUGAGAGGAAAGAACCUCAGAUAACAUUUCUCCAUGCACUGAGCUGUACAGCAGCUUGUUGGGAAUUUUCUUAACUAGUGAUUAAUGUGGGGAGGGCCCAGCCCAUUGUAUAUGGUGCUAUCCCUGGGCUGGUGGUCCUGGGUUCUAGCAGAAAGCAGAUUGAGCAAGCAAUGGGGAGCAAGCCAGUAAGCAACACCCCUCCAUGGCCUCUGCAUCAGCCCCUGACCUGUUUGAGUUCCUGCUCUGACUUGUAUGUAUGUAUGUAUGUAUGUAUGUAUAUAUGUAUAUAUUUAUGAGUACUCUGCCACAUGCCAGAAGGGGGCAUCAGAUCCCCUUUUAGAUGGUUGCCGGCCACCGUGUGGUUGCUGGAAAUUGAACUCAGGACCCCUGAAGGAGCAACCAGUGUUCCUCACUGCUGAGCCAUCUCCCCAGGCUCUGCCCUGACUUUCUUUGAUGAUGAACAUCAGUGUGGUGUAAACCAAAUAAACUUUCUCCUCCCAGAUGUUUUUUGGAUACGGUGUUCCAUUCCAUCACAGCAAUAGAAAUCCUAAUGACCAGACCACUGCUAUUAGUGCAUGCCAGAAUGAGAUAUGAGACCCUGUUGCUAAAGACAUUUCGUGGUUUGGAUGCAAGCCAUUGAGAAAUUAGCAAAUGGCACCUACAAAGGCUCAGGAAACAAAACUCAUAAGAUCCAGGAAGCUCAAAGCCGAAACACUCUUGAGACCCCCUACUAAGGUUAUACAAAUCCCGAGCACUGCUGGGGAGAGGAGUCUCUUCAGCAGAGCUGUCUGCAGACCGGGCAGGAGCUCUGUGGGCACAGCUUUCGUGAAUCA